GACGAACGCUGGCGGCGUGCCUAAUACAUGCAAGUCGAACGCUGAAGGAGGAGCUUGCUUCUCUGGAUGAGUUGCGAACGGGUGAGUAACGCGUAGGUAACCUGCCUGGUAGCGGGGGAUAACUAUUGGAAACGAUAGCUAAUACCGCAUAAUAGUAGAUGUCGCAUGACAUUUGCUUAAAAGGUGCAAUUGCAUCACUACCAGAUGGACCUGCGUUGUAUUAGCUAGUUGGUGAGGUAACGGCUCACCAAGGCAACGAUACAUAGCCGACCUGAGAGGGUGAUCGGCCACACUGGGACUGAGACACGGCCCAGACUCCUACGGGAGGCAGCAGUAGGGAAUCUUCGGCAAUGGACGGAAGUCUGACCGAGCAACGCCGCGUGAGUGAAGAAGGUUUUCGGAUCGUAAAGAUCUGUUGUAAGAGAAGAACGAGUGUGAGAGUGGAAAGUUCACACUGUGACGGUAUCUUACCAGAAAGGGACGGCUAACUACGUG
rnacentral:rRNA from 1 species